rnacentral:lncRNA from 1 species
UAUGGCACAGCCUUCACAUGAUCAUUAAUUUCCUGCACCGUACGCUCACCUUGGAUCCAAGUCUGGUGCCGGCAUGUCGUACAGACCAUAAUAGGUGGUUCCGACUCGUAGGUGACCCGCGAUUUAUCGCAUAACUUUCACAUGAUCGUAGCUCUUAAGCGUACAUAUUUAUACCUAGCAUGUCGUACAGGUCAAAUCAGGUGACUUUGACUCGUGUGCUAGCCUAGGUUGAUGAGCUAUAGUCCAGUCGUAUAGGUCACAUUAGGUGACUCAGACUGGCAUGUUAUUUUACAUUGAUUCUAAACCUGGCUUACAUGAUUUAUACGUUAUGACAUGGCAUAUUUUGGGUUUCA